rnacentral:rRNA from 1 species
GUGGGGAAUUUUGGACAAUGGGCGCAAGCCUGAUCCAGCAAUGCCGCGUGCAGGAAGAAGGCCUUCGGGUCGUAAAGCUCUGUCAUCAGGGACGAAUGGCCGGUGGAGUGGAAAGCCACCGGAUUGACGGUACCUGAGAAGGAAGCCACGGCUAACUACGUGCCAGCAGCCGCGGUAAUACGUAGGUGGCAAGCGUUGUCCGGAAUUAUUGGGCGUAAAGCGCGCGCAGGUGGGAUCUUAAGUCCAUUUUGAAAGUUCGGAGCUCAACUCCGUGAUGGGAUGGAAACUGGGAUUCUUGAGUACCGGAGAGGAAAGUGGAAUUCCAAGUGUAGCGGUGAAAUGCGUAGAGAUUUGGAAGAACACCAGUGGCGAAGGCGACUUUCUGGACGAUGUCUGACGCUGAGGCGCGAAAGCUAGGGGAGCGAACGGGAUUAGAAACCCGGGUAGUCC